rnacentral:rRNA from 1 species
CGAGCGGACAGAAGGGAGCUUGCUCCCGGAUGUUAGCGGCGGACGGGUGAGUAACACGUGGGUAACCUGCCUGUAAGACUGGGAUAACUCCGGGAAACCGGAGCUAAUACCGGAUAGUUCCUUGAACCGCAUGGUUCAAGGAUGAAAGACGGUUUCGGCUGUCACUUACAGAUGGACCCGCGGCGCAUUAGCUAGUUGGUGGGGUAAUGGCUCACCAAGGCGACGAUGCGUAGCCGACCUGAGAGGGUGAUCGGCCACACUGGGACUGAGACACGGCCCAGACUCCUACGGGAGGCAGCAGUAGGGAAUCUUCCGCAAUGGACGAAAGUCUGACGGAGCAACGCCGCGUGAGUGAUGAAGGUUUUCGGAUCGUAAAGCUCUGUUGUUAGGGAAGAACAAGUGCGAGAGUAACUGCUCGCACCUUGACGGUACCUAACCAGAAAGCCACGGCUAACUACGUGCCAGCAGCCGCGGUAAUACGUAGGUGGCAAGCGUUGUCCGGAAUUAUUGGGCGUAAAGGGCUCGCAGGCGGUUUCUUAAGUCUGAUGUGAAAGCCCCCGGCUCAACCGGGGAGGGUCAUUGGAAACUGGGAAACUUGAGUGCAGAAGAGGAGAGUGGAAUUCCACGUGUAGCGGUGAAAUGCGUAGAGAUGUGGAGGAACACCAGUGGCGAAGGCGACUCUCUGGUCUGUAACUGACGCUGAGGAGCGAAAGCGUGGGGAGCGAACAGGAUUAGAUACCCUGGUAGUCCACGC